AGUGCUCUGCUCUCCACCAUCACUUCCACCUGCAACCCUAAUAUCUUACCUUUCCCACCACCGUCUUCCCCCCUGCCUUCCAUUUCUCUGGCCACUUCCUCCAUCCUUCGCCACUCUCACCACUCGUCCACCCCAAAUUUCAGACACAUUUAGGGCUUGUGAGACACCCAGGAAGGAUAAUGCGAACGCAAAGUUGACCUCCAACAGCAGAGGAACACCUUUUGGUCUCUGAGAUUUUGCCGCUACUAUUGCCCCAAAUCGAAAUGGCCUGUGCGGAACUUUGAGCCUAAAGAUGUACUAACACAUGGCAACCUCGAAUAGAGUACCAGUGGUUCGAGCUAAACACCCAUCAUAUUAAGGAAAUAACAAGCCAAGUUGGAAGGCUUGUUUAACCUUGUCCUGCAUUAAAGUGAGGUCGGUGCAUUCUUCUUGAUAGCAAAGUUGCGGGCUGACAUGAAGUUGGACAUGCUUAAAGGCUGAAGAUCGUCACUCCAGUCUUCCUUGUAUGUGUGGUAUUUAUAAAGAAUUUGGAUAUUGACAUCGAUAAGGAAGGAGACGAGCAAAAAACAAAAAAGAGAAAAGUGGUAGUUGCAAAUUAUAUGGUAACAGUAGCCACAUUAGUAGUUUGGUGGCAUGAGAAACAUAUAGUAAAGGAGCCUUAUUUGGACUUUAAAGUAGCACAUGAAAUAUAUCUAAGGCGUCUUUACUAUGGAAACAAUAGAGUUUGUGUAGAGCAAUUUCGACUCAAUAAACAUUAUUUUACUAUUUUAUGUACAAAUUUAAGAGAGCAUUGUGGGUUGAGGGAUACUAGAAAUAUUACUGUUGAAGAAGCAGUUGCAAUGUUUCUCUAUGUUCUUGCUCAUAACUUUAAGAAUCGCACUGUCAAUUUUAAUUUCAUAAGAUCA